UACGGAGGGUGCAAGCGUUAAUCGGAAUUACUGGGCGUAAAGCGCGCGUAGGCGGUUUGUUAAGUCAGCUGUGAAAGCCCCGGGCUCAACCUGGGAAUUGCAGUUGAUACUGGCCGACUAGAGUACGAGAGAGGGAGGUAGAAUUCCAUGUGUAGCGGUGAAAUGCGUAGAUAUGUGGAGGAAUACCGGUGGCGAAGGCG
rnacentral:rRNA from 1 species